rnacentral:rRNA from 1 species
UUCCGGUUGAUCCUGCCGGACCUGACUGCUAUCGGAUUGAUACUAAGCCAUGCGAGUCAUUGUAGCAAUACAAGGCAUACGGCUCAGUAACGCGUAGUCAACCUAACCUAUGGACGGGAAUAACCUCGGGAAACUGAGAAUAAUGCCCGAUAGAACACUAUACCUGGAAUGGUUUGUGUUCCAAAUGAGUUAUCGCCAUAGGAUGGGACUGCGGCCUAUCAGUUUGUUGGUGAGGUAAUGGCCCACCAAGACUAUUACAGGUACGGGCUCUGAGAGGAGUAGCCCGGAGAUGGGUACUGAGACACGGACCCAGGCCCUAUGGGGCGCAGCAGGCGAGAAAACUUUGCAAUGUGCGAAAGCACGACAAGGUUAAUCCGAGUGAUUUGUGCUAAACGAAUCUUUUGUUAGUCCUAGAAACACUAACGAAUAAGGGGUGGGCAAGUUCUGGUGUCAGCCGCCGCGGUAAAACCAGCACCUCAAGUGGUCAGGAUGAUUAUUGGGCCUAAAGCAUCCGUAGCCGGCUCUGUAAGUUUUCGGUUAAAUCUGUACGCUUAACGUACAGGCUGCCGGGAAUACUGCAGAGCUAGGGAGUGGGAGAGGUAGACGGUACUCGGUAGGAAGUGGUAAAAUGCUUUGAUCUAUCGAUGACCACCUGUGGCGAAGGCGGUCUACCAGAACACGUCCGACGGUGAGGGAUGAAAGCUGGGGGAGCAAACCGGAUUAGAUACCCGGGUAGUCCCAGCUGUAAACUAUGCAAACUCAGUGAUGCAUUGGCUUGUGGCCAAUGCAGUGCUGCAGGGAAGCCGUUAAGUUUGCCGCCUGGGAAGUACGUACGCAAGUAUGAAACUUAAAGGAAUUGGCGGGGGAGCACCACAAGGGGUGAAGCCUGCGGUUCAAUUGGAGUCAACGCCGGG